GACGAACGCUGGCGGCGUGCUUAACACAUGCAAGUCGAACGAAGAGCGAUGGAAGCUUGCUUCUAUCAAUCUUAGUGGCGAACGGGUGAGUAACGCGUAAUCAACCUGCCCUUCAGAGGGGGACAACAGUUGGAAACGACUGCUAAUACCGCAUACGAUCUAACCUCGGCAUCGAGGAUAGAUGAAAGGUGGCCUCUACAUGUAAGCUAUCACUGAAGGAGGGGAUUGCGUCUGAUUAGCUAGUUGGAGGGGUAACGGCCCACCAAGGCGAUGAUCAGUAGCCGGUCUGAGAGGAUGAACGGCCACAUUGGGACUGAGACACGGCCCAGACUCCUACGGGAGGCAGCAGUGGGGAAUCUUCCGCAAUGGACGAAAGUCUGACGGAGCAACGCCGCGUGAGUGAUGACGGCCUUCGGGUUGUAAAGCUCUGUUAAUCGGGACGAAAGGCCUUCUUGCGAAUAGUGAGAAGGAUUGACGGUACCGGAAUA
rnacentral:rRNA from 1 species